rnacentral:rRNA from 1 species
GCAUAUCAAUAAGCGGAGGAAAAGAAACCAACAGGGAUUGCCUUAGUAACGGCGAGUGAAGCGGCAAAAGCUCAAAUUUGAAAACUAUCACCAGAUAGUGUUGUAAUUUGUAGAUUGUUUUUUGAGAUAUUGGUUAAAGUCAGUUGGAACACUGCGCCCUAUUGAGGGUGAUAGCCCCGU